CCGGAAUAUUGAAAUUAGGCUAAAGGUAAGUUUUCUCGAAACUUCCGGGAAGAAAAAUCGCUACACCGUUACGAGUGGACGGUUUUACGGAAGUCACAUAAUUAAUAAAUAAAUAUAAAUAUACACAAUUAAAUCCGUAAAUCGAUUAUAAAAUCAUCCAACAUUCCAUAAAUCCAUAUGAAAAUAUCCAAAUAAACUAUAUUUUCUCCUGAGCAUAUAGACAUUGGAAUCUCUCAAAUACGAGCACAUAUGAGCGGUUAACGCAAUAAACCAGAUAAUAUAAAAUUCACAAAAAUUCAUAUAUUAAUCAUAUAAUACUCAUAAUUAACCAUAAUUAAUUAACCAACAAAUCCACCAAUACCACUUACUCACAUCACACAUAUAUUCACAUAAUAAUCAUCUAAAAUUUUCAAAACAAUAUAUGAAAAUCAGUUUUAAAAAUACAAUUAUUUAUCAAUAACACAAUAACCCGGGGUUUAAAUAUAAAACCUUGAAAACUCAUUAAACUGGAAUAAAAUAUUAAAUCUUAUUCCCUUCUUUUUAAGAAAAAUCACUUUUAAUACUAAUAAAAAUAUUUUUAAAAAUCC
rnacentral:lncRNA from 1 species